CACGUAGGGUGCGAGCGUUGUCCGGAAUUAUUGGGCGUAAAGAGCUCGUAGGCGGUGUGUCGCGUCGGCCGUGAAAACCUGCAGCUUAACUGUGGGCUUGCGGUCGAUACGGGCAUCACUGGAGUUCGGCAGGGGAGACUGGAAUUCCUGGUGUAGCGGUGAAAUGCGCAGAUAUCAGGAGGAACACCGGUGGCGAAGGCGGGUCUCUAGGCAGUAACUGACGCUGAGGAGCGAAAGCGUGGGGAGCGAACAGG
rnacentral:rRNA from 1 species